rnacentral:rRNA from 1 species
ACCUACGGGGCGCAGCAGUGAGGAAUAUUGGUCAAUGGCCGCAGGGCUGAACCAGCCAAGUCGCGUGAGGGGUGACGGUCCUAUGGAUUGUAAACCUCUUUUGUCAGGGAGCAAAGGGCGCCACGUGUGGCGUUUUGCGAGUACCUGAAGAAAAAGCAUCGGCUAACUCCGUGCCAGCAGCCGCGGUAAUACGGAGGAUGCGAGCGUUAUCCGGAUUUAUUGGGUUUAAAGGGUGCGCAGGCGGUGCGGCAAGUCUGAUGUGAAAGCCCGGGGCUCAACCCCGGGACUGCAUUGGAAACUACCGA